CAAAUUAAGGUGAAACCGCGAAAGGCUCAUUAAAUCAGUUAUGGUUCCUUAGAUCGUACCCACAUUUACUUGGAUAACUGUGGUAAUUCUAGAGCUAAUACAUGCAAACAGAGCUCCGACCACACGGAAGGAGCGCUUUUAUUAGAUCAAAACCAAUCGGCGUCGGGAUUUCUCGUCGUCGUACAUUUUGGUGACUCUGAAUAACUUUUUGCUGAUCGCAAGGUCUCGCACCGGCGACGCAUCUUUCAAAUGUCUGCCUUAUCAACUGUCGAUGGUAGGUUCUGCGCCUACCAUGGUUGUAACGGGUAACGGGGAAUCAGGGUUCGAUUCCGGAGAGGGAGCCUGAGAAACGGCUACCACAUCCAAGGAAGGCAGCAGGCGCGCAAAUUACCCACUCCCGGCACGGGGAGGUAGUGACGAAAAAUAACGAUACGGGACUCAUCCGAGGCCCCGUAAUCGGAAUGAGUACACUCUAAACCCUUUAACGAGGAUCAAUUGGAGGGCAAGUCUGGUGCCAGCAGCCGCGGUAAUUCCAGCUCCAAUAGCGUAUAUUAAAGUUGUUGCGGUUAAAAAGCUCGUAGUCGAAUCUGUGUCCCGCGACGCCGGUUCAUCGCUCGCGGUGUUUAACUGGCGUGUCCGCGAGACGUCCUGCCGGUGGGCGCAGCCUUAACGGGCGGCCCAACUUCAAAUCCUACCGCGGUGCUCUUCAUCGAGUGUCGAGGUGGGCCGGCACGUUUACUUUGAACAAAUUAGAGUGCUUAAAGCAGGCUAAAACAUCGCCUGAAUAUUGUGUGCAUGGAAUAAUGGAAUAGGACCUCGGUUCUAUUUUGUUGGUUUUCGGAACCCCGAGGUAAUGAUUAAUAGGAACGGAUGGGGGCAUUCGUAUUGCGACGUUAGAGGUGAAAUUCUUGGAUCGUCGCAAGACGAACAGAAGCGAAAGCAUUUGCCAAAAACGCUUUCAUUGAUCAAGAACGAAAGUUAGAGGUUCGAAGGCGAUCAGAUACCGCCCUAGUUCUAACCAUAAACGAUGCCAGCUAGCGAUCCGCCGACGUUCCUCCGAUGACUCGGCGGGCAGCUUCCGGGAGACCAAAGCUUUUGGGUUCCGGGGGAAGUAUG
rnacentral:rRNA from 1 species